rnacentral:snRNA from 1 species
GUGCUUGCUUUGGCAGAACAUAUACUAAAAUUGGAAUGAUACAGAGAAGAUUAGCAUGGCCCCUGC